AGUGAACGCUGGCGGUAGGCCUAACACAUGCAAGUCGAACGGCAGCACAGGAGAGCUUGCUCUCUGGGUGGCGAGUGGCGGACGGGUGAGGAAUACAUCGGAAUCUACUCUGUCGUGGGGGAUAACGUAGGGAAACUUACGCUAAUACCGCAUACGACCUACGGGUGAAAGCAGGGGAUCUUCGGACCUUGCGCGAUUGAAUGAGCCGAUGUCGGAUUAGCUAGUUGGCGGGGUAAAGGCCUACCAAGGCGACGAUCCGUAGCUGGUCUGAGAGGAUGAUCAGCCACACUGGAACUGAGACACGGUCCAGACUCCUACGGGAGGCAGCAGUGGGGAAUAUUGGACAAUGGGCGCAAGCCUGAUCCAGCCAUACCGCGUGGGUGAAGAAGGCCUUCGGGUUGUAAAGCCCUUUUGUUGGGAAAGAAAUCCAGCUGGUUAAUACCCGGUUGGGAUGACGGUACCCAAAGAAUAAGCACCGGCUAACUUCGUGCCAGCAGCCGCGGUAAUACGAAGGGUGCAAGCGUUACUCGGAAUUACUGGGCGUAAAGCGUGCGUAGGUGGUUAUUUAAGUCCGUUGUGAAAGCCCUGGGCUCAACCUGGGAACUGCAGUGGAUACUGGAUGACUAGAAUGUGGUAGAGGGUAGCGGAAUUCCUGGUGUAGCAGUGAAAUGCGUAGAGAUCAGGAGGAACAUCCAUGGCGAAGGCAGCUACCUGGACCAACAUUGACACUGAGGCACGAAAGCGUGGGGAGCAAACAGG
rnacentral:rRNA from 1 species